AUUCAUUUAUAAGUAUGAAAAUUCAUUAAUGUGAAAUGAUGAGAAUGCUUCAUCGAUGCUUCUUAUUUAUUAUUGUAAUGACGCAUCUAUAUAAAAUUCCAUUUGCACGUUGCACUUUGGUUAAAAUUGUUGACGGUAGCGAUAAAUUGGCAUGCAGCUUAUCUUUCGUUAUCUGUUAUUUAUCCUUUUUUAGAGCGGUCCGCAUGCUUUGUGGCGCUGAUAAAUUGUUUCAACUGGGUCAUACGUUCGCUACGGCUCGUUUUUGUCUUUUCAUUUAUCCGUGGAAUUUCUACCGUGCCGGUUGUUCCAAAUUUAUCGAAUUCUCCGCGGUAUUUAACGCGAGAAAAUUGAAAGGCGAGCCGCACACGGUCAACUAUCACUGCAUUUUUUCGUGUGAUUAAAUUCCCAUUAUGAUGCAACUUCACAAUAUACACAUGUUUCUGUAUAAUAUUAGAAGAAUAAUUAUCUAAACCGUAUAAAUGAUAUAAUAGAAAUAAUAAAAAGAAUAAUUUUUUAAAAUUUUGAAAAUACUUUUUAUAAUGAAUGUUUUAUCUGAAACUUAUGUGAAUACAGAUUUAUAAAUUUAGAAUUAUGAAAAAAAUAAUAAUAACACACAAUUGAAUUUUAACACACAAUGAAAUUUUAUGCAUAUGUAUAUAUACAUAUCACAUAAAUAAAUCAUAAUAAAUAUGGUUUUACCUACGCUUGAAAGCUUUUUUCCAACCACCGUCACAUUCGCUUUUUACAAUAUGUGGCAAAGCAAAAUCUCAUGUAAAUAGUAAAAACCAUUAAAGCAUGUUUGAAACAUUUCACAUUCGUGGAUCAGUUAAUAUUCGAGCUUGGUUUUGCUAUUUGUCCACGUGACAGUUUCAUAUCUACUCUCUGAUGGAAUAUGUGAUACUAUGAAAUUUGAAUGAAAUGUAGUCUAACAAGAAUUGAUCAUUUUUAUAAUAAAUAUCGGUUUAAUAAUCACGAUAUAAAUGGAAUUGAUAUAAUAUAUAAUAUGAAUAAAUAUUUUAAGAAAAAAAGAAAAAAAAUGAAUAUCGAAGAAAAGAAAAGGCAAAGAUCAAAUUUAUAUCCUAUUAGAGUCAAUAAUUUUUUUGAAAUGUAUUGUACUAUAAUGAAUAUCGUAUUCAAAUAUGACAAUUGCUUUGAAGAGAAUUUCGACAGUAAAAAAGAAAGAAAAAAGAGAUGGACGAAAGAAUUGAAAUAUCUUGAUAAGUUGAUUAGUAUUCAACCUAGUUUCGGCAAACGUAAAAUCGAUCAUCUCUGUAUCUCUAGCGUGUGCACUUUCUAUCUUGACUGAUAGAAAAAAAUAGUGUUUCAUUGAAAUUAAAAAAUAGUAAUGAGAAAAUGAAACAUAAUAUGUGUACAUAAAUUUCAAUGGAAAUUGAAAAGAGUAAUUUCUGAAAAAAGAAAAAAGAAUCACAUCUUUUUUUAUGUACUUACAUCAUCAUUACACAAUCAUGUUGAUAAAUUAAAAAAAAUACAUAAUAAU